CCUAUAUAGAAAAAAAAAACAAAAUUUAUUGCAUUAACUACUAAAUUAAUUAUUACCUAAUCAAAGGAUCAAUUAAGAUUUUACUUAAAAUGAAUGCAAAAAAAAUAUGUGUUGAGACAGACCAACGAACAUCUGAUGUGGAUGACAAGGAUCCAAAAAUUGUCAUCAAUUCACUGGAUUACGACUCAUUAGCAAAAAUCAUCAUGUUGUUGCCAUUACCAGAAAGGAUAGACAUGGAAGAAGUUUGUACCAAAUGGAAAGAGGCA